AGGACAAACGCUGGCGGCGUGCCUAAGACAUGCAAGUCGGACGGAAGGCUUCGGCCUUUAGUGGCGGACGGGUGAGGAGCGCGUGGAGAACCCGCCCCGGGGUGGGGGAUAACACUCGGAAACGAGUGCUAAGACCGCAUACGAUCAUUCGUCGAUGGACGGGUGAGGAAAGCAGUGAUGUGCCCUGGGAGGGCUCCGCGUCGGAUUAGCUGGUUGGUGGGGUAACGGCCUACCAAGGCAACGAUCCGUAGCUGGUCUGAGAGGACGGCCAGCCACACUGGGACUGAGACACGGCCCAGACUCCUACGGGAGGCAGCAGUGGGGAAUAUUGGACAAUGGGCGAAAGCCUGAUCCAGCAAUGCCGCGUGUGUGAAGAAGGUUUUCGGAUUGUAAAGCACUUUCGACGGGGACGAUGAUGACGGUACCCGUAGAAGAAGCCCGGCUAACUUCGUGCCAGCAGCCGC
rnacentral:rRNA from 1 species